rnacentral:rRNA from 1 species
UGGGGAAUAUUGCGCAAUGGGGGAAACCCUGACGCAGCAACGCCGCGUGCGGGAUGAAGGCCUUCGGGUUGUAAACCGCUUUCAGCAGGGAAGAUACAAGACGGUACCUGCAGAAGAAGCCCCGGCUAACUACGUGCCAGCAGCCGCGGUAAUACGUAGGGGGCAAGCGUUAUCCGGAUUCAUUGGGCGUAAAGCGCGCGCAGGCGGGCUGCUAAGCGGGACCUCUAAUCCAAGGGCUCAACCUUUGGCCGGGUCCCGAACUGGCAGCCUCGAGUGCGGUAGGGGAGGUCGGAAUUCCCGGUGUAGCGGUGGAAUGCGCAGAUAUCGGGAAGAACACCGAUGGCGAAGGCAGACCUCUGGGCCGACACUGACGCUGAGGCGCGAAAGCUAGGGGAGCGAACAGG